GAUGAACGCUAGCGGCGUGCUUAACACAUGCAAGUCGAACGAAGCACUUUAACUUGAUUUUUUCGGAAUGAUAGUUAUUGUGACUGAGUGGCGGACGGGUGAGUAACGCGUGGGUAACCUGCCUCAUACAGGGGGAUAACAGUUGGAAACGACUGCUAAUACCGCAUAAGCGCACGGUAUCGCAUGAUACAGUGUGGAAAACUCCGGUGGUAUGAGAUGGACCCGCGUCUGAUUAGCUAGUUGGCGGAGUAACGGCCCACCAAGGCAACGAUCAGUAGCCGACCUGAGAGGGUGACCGGCCACAUUGGGACUGAGACACGGCCCAAACUCCUACGGGAGGCAGCAGUGGGGAAUAUUGCACAAUGGGCGAAAGCCUGAUGCAGCGACGCCGCGUGAACGAUGAAGUAUUUCGGUAUGUAAAGUCCUAUCAGCAGGGAAGAAGAAUGACGGUACCCGACUAAGAAGCACCGGCUAAAUACGUGCCAGCAGCCGCGGUAA
rnacentral:rRNA from 1 species